CUAACGCGAUAAGUACACCGCCAGGGAAGUACAGCCGGAGGGUUAAAACUCAAAUGAAUAGGCGAAGGCCCGGACAAGCGGUGGGACAUGUGGUUUAAUUCGAUGCAAUGUGAAGAACCUUAACUGGUCUUGACAUUCACAGAAUUUUCCCGGGAUGGAUUGGUGCAUUCGGGAACUGUGAGACAGGUGCUGCAUGGCUAGCGUCAGAUCGUGUUGUGAAAUGUUGGGUUAAGUGCCGCAACGAGCGCAACUGAUUAUCGUUUGUUGCUGGCGAUUAGGUCGGGAACUCGAAGGAGACUGCCAGUGAUGAUCUGGAGGAAGGUGGGGAUGGCGUAAAGUCAUCAUGGCCCUAACGACCAGGGCUACACACGUGCUACAAUGGCGCUUACAAAGAGAAGCCACCUCGCGAGAGCAAGCG
rnacentral:rRNA from 1 species